UCCAGGUGAUUCUGAUGCGUGUCCAAGU
rnacentral:piRNA from 1 species